AAAAUGUUGAAAUGCACUUAUUGUAAGUCGCUUUGGAUAAAAGCAUCUGCCAAAUUACAUAUAAUGUAAAGGAAUAUGACAACAAUGAGUUAUCCGAGGAUGAUGAUGAGGAAUAUGACGACGAAGAAGAAGCAGAGAGAACAUGUUAAAAUCCUGCAAGCAACAUGGAGCUGGAGCUUUACUAAGUCAUUGAGAUGGAAAAAAAAAACUAAUUGAGGUGUUCAGAAAAAUGCAGAACUGUGUAGUUUUUCAUCACACAACCUAUUGCAAACUCAACAUAUACUUUUGGUUGGAGUUUUCUUUCGAAAUGAAAUACUUUUUUUUACCGUUAGGAGUUUUUGAUGAUGUAACCCUCCCAUUUAUCCUGGCUUGGGACAGACACAGGGAAUUCAGUACACUACAUGGGAGGAACCCAUGUUACUUUUGACAUGGGAUUUUGAGUCUCAUUCACUGUUCACUCCCGUUACAUUUGAAUAAAAUUGGACUGAUAUCAAGUGCAUGUUCCCUUGUGUUGGAUGAUUCUGGUUUCUUUAAAUGUGGGAAAGAGCCACAUUAAGUCCUAUCAUUUAGUUGUACUUUAUGCUAAGUUUAGCUUGACAUACUAGUUAUUUAUAAAAGGUUAAUUUUACAGCUGUUAUAAAUAGGUAACACAUCAUUAAAAUAACAGCAGCUGGUGUAGCAUUAGGAGAUGUUUUGCUUAAAAGUACAGUGUGUAAAAUGUAUCAACAUAAUUUGGUGAGGCUGCAUGUUGCAUAUAUAAAUAUGUUAAUUAUUUUCCAUUGUAAAAACAUGGUGAAUCCAGCAUCCAUGGCGAAACUCCAAGACAACCCACCGCCUGUCCUUAGGAUCACCCGUAAAAGAAGGCGCUCAAGCUGCCCUGUGGUGCCACCAAACACUGACGACCAUCCCUACAGUAAGAUGCUUUCCAUCUUUCCUCCCAAAGUCUAAGCAUUUCUUUCAUCAACCACACAGAUCUUCACUCUCCAUCAUGCUUAUCUGUGUAUCCAUUCAGGCCAGUGAUGUUACUGUGGCCAAAAAUGUUGCCAGCCUAGAUGACACGUCUUCCAAGAGUCUUGUGGAAAGGGCCCAACAAGCCAAACAGUAAUGACGUGAAUCCAGUUGGCUGUUCAUUCAUUUCAUUACCCAGGAUGAAGGCAUGCUGCAACACCUUAAAAAAAUCAUCAGAGGCAACAUUGUGUCUCCCUGGGCCAAGGAGGAGGACAGGGUCUUCAUUCUUUUUGAAGAUGAUGAACAAGUGGACCAGAUGUUGCACUUCUUGUCUGGAGUCCUUGAAAGUACACUGACAGAUAAGAAGUCUGCAGAUUCAGUGGCUUUAAUCAUGGAUGUACUUUUGCCAGAGGUGAGAUAUCAGACACUGACACUGAUUUUUAGGCUACAUAUUUUAUAUGUUUCCCUUUAACACAUGGUCGCUGUUCAAGACAAUCUUAAAUCUAAAUCUUCAUGACACAGGUAACGAUUUAUGCCCUUGCACCUGUACACUUCAUCUUCUCCCUGGACAAAGCCAAAGAGAUGUACAAAUGUGGAACUCAGUUUGACUCGAGGGAAAAUUAGAUAGUUUAGGAAACUGUUAAUCCAAUUUUCACGACAGUUUAUAUCCCUUAAUGUAUGUGAGUGUCAUUAAUUACUUAAUUAUUUUGUUAUAUAACUUUGCCUUAUCAGCAAGAUAAGACUUCAGCUUCAGAGCUGAGCAGAGUUUACUCUCAUCCUGUUUCUGUUUUUUAUUGUUGUUUGUUUGUUUUAUAAAGUGUUGAAA